rnacentral:rRNA from 1 species
UACGGAGGGGACUAGCGUUGUUCGGAAUUACUGGGCGUAAAGCGUGCGCAGGCGGUUAUGUAAGACAGGUGUGAAAUCCCCGGGCUUAACCUGGGAACUGCAUUUGUGACUGCAUAGCUAGAGUACGGUAGAGGGGGAUGGAAUUCCGCGUGUAGCAGUGAAAUGCGUAGAUAUGCGGAGGAACACCGAUGGCGAAGGCAAUCCCCUGGACCUGUACUGACGCUCAUGCACGAAAGCGUGGGGAGCAAACAGG